GUUCCCGUAGCACAAUUGGAUAGCGCGUCGCCCUCCGAAGGCGAAGGUUGUGGGUUCGACCCCCGCCGGGAACG
rnacentral:tRNA from 1 species